UAGGGAAUCUUCCGCAAUGGACGCAAGUCUGCGGAGCAACGCCGCGUGAGUGANGAAGGUCUUCGGAUCGUAAANCUCUGUUGUCAGGGAAGAACAAGUGCCGUUUGAAUAAGGCGGCACCUUGACGGUACCUGACCAGAAAGCCACGGCUAACUACGUGCCAGCAGCCGCGGUAAUACGUAGGUGGCAAGCGUUGUCCGGAAUUAUUGGGCGUAAAGCGCUCGCAGGCGGUUCCUUAAGUCUGAUGUGAAAUCUUGCAGCUUAACUGCAAGCGGUCAUUGGAAACUGGGGGACUUGAGUACAGAAGAGGAGAGCGGAAUUCCACGUGUAGCGGUGAAAUGCGUAGAGAUGUGGAGGAACACCAGUGGCGAAGGCGGCUCUCUGGUCUGUAACUGACGCUCAGGAGCGAAAGCGUGGGUAGCGAACAGGAUUAGAUACCCUGGUAGUCCACGCCGUAAACGAUGAGUGCUAGGUGUUAGGGGGUUUCCGCCCUUAGUGCUGGAGUUAACGCAUUAAGCACUUCGCCUGGGGAGUACGGCCGCAAGGCUG
rnacentral:rRNA from 1 species